CCCAACACACUUCUGCUUUUAGUAAAUGAUUUUACCUUGAUGAUUGAAAGUUGGAUCGACAAAUGUCUCUCUAAUCAAACCCCAAGCCUCAACUAAGGUCCUCUGAACUGUAUUUACCUACAAAACAAACAAAUAAUCAUUUAAUUGUAUUAAGAGAUUAUAAUCAAGUAAAUUUCUACGAUGAGUUAGAAUCAGCAGCUAGUAAUUUUCCUUUCAUUUCUUUUAUGAAACAAAAAGAAAUAAUUCAAAUUGAUUACCUCAGGUGUGUGAGAGACAGGGAAUGCUACAGUUAGAGACUCAGCCAGAGCUGGAGACUGACACAAGGACAAAGCAGCAGCUAAUCCAAUAACUCCUUUCCUUACCCAUUUCACCAAAUUUUCAUUCUCUCC
rnacentral:lncRNA from 1 species